rnacentral:rRNA from 1 species
UGGGGAAUAUUGGAUAAUGGGCGAAAGCCUGAUCCAGCCAUGCCGCGUGAGUGAUGAAGGCCUUAGGGUUGAAAAGCUCUUUCGCCGGUGAAGAUAAUGACGGUAACCGGUAAAGAAGCCCCGGCUAACUUCGUGCCAGCAGCCGCGGUAAUACGAAGGGGGCUAGCGUUGUUCGGAAUUACUGGGCGUAAAGCGCGCGUAGGCGGGUCAUUAAGUCAGGGGUGAAAUCCCGGGGCUCAACCCCGGAACUGCCCUUGAAACUAGGUGGCUAGAAUACUGGAGAGGUGAGUGGAAUUCCGAGUGUAGAGGUGAAAUUCGUAGAUAUUCGGAAGAACACCAGUGGCGAAGGCGACUCACUGGACAGUUAUUGACGCUGAGGUGCGAAAGCGUGGGGAGCAAACAGGAUUAGAUACCCCCGUAGUCC